AUUGAACGCUGGCGGCAUGCCUUACACAUGCAAGUCGAACGGCAGCACGGGGCAACCUGGUGGCGAGUGGCGAACGGGUGAGUAAUGCAUCGGAACGUACCUUUCAGUGGGGGAUAACGUAGCGAAAGUUACGCUAAUACCGCAUAUUCUGUGAGCAGGAAAGCAGGGGAUCGCAAGACCUUGCGCUGAUUGAGCGGCCGAUGUCAGAUUAGCUAGUUGGUGAGGUAAAGGCGCACCAAGGCGAGGAUCUGUAGCGGGUCUGAGAGGAUGACCCGCCACACUGGAACUGAGACACGGUCCAGACUCCUACGGGAGGCAGCAGUGGGGAAUUUUUGACAAUGGGGGCAACCCUGAUCCAGCCAUGCCGCGUGAGUGAAGAAGGCCUUCGGGUUGUAAAGCUCUUUCGGCCGGGAAGAAAUCGCACGGGCUAAUACCCUGUGUGGAUGACGGUACCGGAAUAAGAAGCACCGGCUAACUACGUGCCAGCAGCCGCCGUAA
rnacentral:rRNA from 1 species